rnacentral:rRNA from 1 species
CCAGCAGCUGCGGUAAUUCCAGCUCCAAUAGCGUAUAUUAAAGUUGUUGCAGUUAAAAAGCUCGUAGUUGAAUUUCUGGCCGGGGCGCCGGUCGGCCCUCGUGGUCUGCACUCGCGCGCGCCUGGUUCACCCUUGCGGGGAAGCCGUCGGCAUUCGUUUGUCGGCGCGUGGACCCGCAUCAUUUACUGUGAAAAAAUUAGAGUGUUUAAAGCAGGCAAUGGGCUUGAAUACUUCAGCAUGGAAUAAUAAGAUAGGACUUGGGUGCUAUUUUGUUGGUUGCGCACUUAGGUAAUGAUUAAUAGGGACAGUUGGGGGUAUUCAUAUUUGAUUGUCAGAGGUGAAAUUCUUGGAUUUAUCAAAGAUGAACAACUGCGAAAGCAUUUACCAAGGAUGUUUUCAUUAAUCAAGAACGAAAGU